rnacentral:lncRNA from 1 species
ACCAGAUGCAGGGAUCCCAGGGACAGGCUGAGUGGAGGAGGCCAGACCAGAACAUAGAAGACAAGUGAGUGGGGCUGGGCUGUGGGGGAGGGGUGGGGUGGCAGGGAACAGGCAGACCAUCCCUUCUACCCACAGGAUCCUGCUGCUGCAGACAGAAGUGGAAAAGGCCUAGCGGCAUUUGGACCAAAUGACCCAACAGCCUGUUGGCCCAGAGCCCAGCCUGGGGAUCCCCCAAGUGGGUGCAUGGCAGGCCCUGCGCACUGGCCCUGCUGUACCUUUGACUCUGCCCCACACUUUAUUCUCUGGUCCUCAUUAUUGAAGCAUUAUCUAGAGAAGGAAGGCAGCGCAGGGGCUUAGUCCAGCCAAGAGAGGGAUCCUCUUCCAACAUUUGGGAAUACCCUGGGAUCAUUCAGUGACUUCCCUCCUGGUUCAGAUGGGAAAACUGAGACCAGAGAGCAGAGGAGAGCUUGUUCAGAGUCAUAACUUGAGUUGGGGCCAGGACCCUGCCACAACAUGCCCUGAGGCAUCAACGGUCUGCCAAGACCACCCCAGUGUGGUCUGGAAGCUGGAAGGAGACCCCAGGAUUCUGGACCAAGUGUAUCUACAGGAGAUGCUGGUGCCAGGCCUGCAGAUCCAAGAGCAGAGCUGGGAUGGAGGCAGGGCCCAGGAGCUUCGGGACCCAGAGUCUCCAUGCCAGCAGCUGAGACCCCUGCCCAGGCUCAGGACACAGUCCGUCUGCAGGAGCAGUUGCUGAUACUCACUGAGGUGAACAAGAGACUCAGAAGAGCUGGGCCAGAGCCACCAGCAACUAGGGGCCUGCUUGGAGCAGCUGCAGCAUCUGCAGGGAGAGCAGAUGGUGUUGGGGGGCCAUUGCAGGCCCUGGAGGCAGAGCACACCUGGCUACUUCAGGAGAAGGUGGGGCUGCUAGCAGCACUGGGUGUGGCCCCGGGCCAAGAGUCCUGGUAGGUGGCUGCUUGGGCCCAUCCUCAGAGUGUCCAAGCCAGGCUGGGGUGGGGGCUCUGUUCUCACUGUAGGUGAGAUGGCCCUCUCAGCAGGCGGUGGGCCAGUCUCUGUCACCAGCUGGCUGAGGGGGAAUGGCCCAGAGCCCUAAACCCGGAAUCACACGACCAGAGCCAGUCUCCCUUCCCCAGGUAUCAGCGCUCCUGGUUGUCACAUUCUGGCUCUUUUAUGGGGUGGGAAAUCUUUCAGCUUCAAGAAGUCCUGUCUCGCCUACAUAUGGCCAAGCCCCUCCUGCUGGCCCAGGGGCAGGUGGGAGGUGGGGGUGAGAUGACCUUAGCUGCUGGGUGCAAGUCAGGGUCCUUGGGAGUAGAAGUGCCCAGUACAAAGGGGUUCUGUGUGUGCAGGGAGCCAUGAAAGAGGCAUCUCUGCCCCACUCCCCCUCCUAGUUCAUAAGACAAUAAUCACUGAAAGGGAGUGGGGUGGGGGUGAUCUGGGGUCCAUGCUGUACCUGGACUGCACCAUUUCUUCCAGUACACUCCAGGUCCUGGAGGUACCAGUGCCCCUCAGGAAAGAGCUAGAGGCACAAGAAUCACAUCCCAGGCUUCAUGAGGAGAUGGCUGAAUAUUGGAAGGCACGCUGGCACCGGCUGGCAGUUGCCCUGAAAUUUAAAGAGGAGGAACUGCAGAGACUCCAGAGGCAGAGUGGGACCUGGCCUCCCCAGGUGGGCACUGUCUCCCACCUUCUUCUCCACCCCCUCAACCCCGUUCUCCCCAUUGUCUUCCCCACUGCCCAGUCUUUCCCAUACAAACCAAUUAGUCUCUUACCCCUCCUUAGGAUGCCCCCAUCUUGAUCCUAUACUUCCUUCCCAUUUUCUGCCUCUUCCUCAUCAUGCCCCAUCAUUCUCCAUCCAUGUUUUCAGCAUGCAUUUAUUGAGCAUCUGCUACAUGCCUGGCCCUCUUCUGUGUGCAGAAGCAAUGUCAAAUCAGAUCACUCCUUGUCCUCAACAGCUUAUGGUUUGGGGGCACCCGGUAAUUGAGUAAGCAAUUAUUUAUUUAUUAUUGAUUGAUUUAUAAUCGAUUGAUUGAUUGCAUCAGGGUCUCUGUCACCCAGACUGAGGUGCAGUGGUGCAAUCAUAACUCACUGCAGCUUCAAACUCCUGGACUCAAGCGAUCCUCCUGCCUCAGGUAGCUGGGACUGCAGGCACGCAUCACCAUGCCUGGCUAAGUUUUUUUUUUUUUUUUUUUUUUUGUAGAGAUGGGGGUCUCACUACAUUGCCCAGGGUGGUCUUGAACUUCUGACCCUCAAGCAGUUCUCCCACCUUGGCCUCCCAAAGUUCUGAGACUACAGGCAUGAACCACUGUGCCUAUUUUGCAAGUAAUAAUUUAAUGUGCCAGAUGAGGGAAGAGGCACAGUGGGAGCUGGUUAAGGGGUGGCAGAUAGGAGAGUCCCUCCCAGAGAAGGGGUUUCUGAGCCUCUGAACCCUCACACAAGGAUAGACAGGCAUUUUCCAGGAGGAGAGAGGAAAUGAAGGGCAUUUCAGCAAGAGGAAACUGCACAUACAUAUACCCAGAGAGACAGGGGAGGAGUGUUGUAAAUAGCCCCUGAUCCACUUGAGAAGGAGAGUGGGUGAGGGGGUUACUAUGGACAUGGGACAGGGGCCAGAUCUAGGGUUUAGAUGUCCCAGCUCCUGUCCACCUGACUUCACCUCCAGCUUGGUGGCUGCCUUCUCCUGGUCAGCAUCCCUUAGUCUCCUGGGCAAGUGUAUGUGUGCAUGGACAGACAGACACACAGACAUGCAUGCACACACACACCCCCAGGAUACACAUCAGACAUCUGCAGACACCCCCAGAUAUGCACACACACAGACACAGAGAGAGAUACAGACACCAACGAGGUGCCUGGGAGCCAUAGGGAAGUAGUAUUCUAAGGACCCCAUGUGGGAUCCACGCUCUGCCACAAGGCACCUGACUGAAGCUGAUCUGCUGAUCUCGAUGGAAGGAAAAGGAGAGAAAGCUUAGCUGGCUUUGGGCCUCAUAAAGGUUGAGUUGGUCUAAAUCAGUGUAUCUCAAAUGGGUACACAACUGUGCUCAUAGGGGGCUGUUCCUUAAGUCUGCAGUGUAGUCUGCCACUAUAUAUUUGUACAGAGGAAAAUCUCAGUUUUUUGUUUUGUUGUUUUUUUUUUUUGUUUGUUUGUUUUUGUCUAUUUCUCAAACCAGACCCUUGAGGGUCAGAAGAUAUAUCCUCAGCGCCUGGAUGGGCUAUAUUCUUUGGUCAAGUCUGAGGACUUGCAGUGGGCAAUGUCAGUGAGAAGGUAGUGGAGUGACAGAGGGCUGGGCCCUCGGCAGAUUUGUCUCCUAGCAGGAAGAGGUGCUAGGUGAGCCGGAUGCACUUAACCUGCACGUGAUGCAUAAGCCAGUGCCACUUUGGGCCCCACAUGCAGGGCCUUCCAGCCCCUCAGAGACUGUCCAGGCCAUUUUUACUCCCUCCCUGGACCCCUAGAAGGCCAACCCAGGACUCACCUUCUACAGGCAGGUGGGGACCCUGGGCUCUGGGCCUAUCCAGCAAGGAUGGCCUAAAAUGCAGACCCUGGGUCCUGGGCAGGGGUCCUGUGCAGAGUGGCUGAUGAACCAGACUAGCAGUGCACUUCCAGCAGGGCGAGGCUCUUGGAGAUGGGGCAGCAGCUGGAUAGGGUCUGGACAAAGCCAUAUUGCAUCAACGUCCGGCUGGCCAGGGGGUUCACGGGCUCAGCACCCAGCGCUCCCAGGGCCUCUGGCAUGCUCCACCUCCAGUCCCAUCCCCAGCCUCAAGCUCCUCCACCCAACCCUCUCUGGGUGUCUACCUCAGUCUGUCUUCCAUCCAAGGAUUCAGUAGUCUGCACUGUCCCCAGAUUAGUGGCUAAGAUUGUGGGUUUAAAUCUUGGCUCCACAAUAUACUAGCUGUGUGACCUUGGGCAGUUCCUCUGCCUCUCUGGGCCUUAUCUGUAAAAGUGAAAAUAACAGUUAUCCUCCCUGAAUGAGUGCCUAAGAGGAUGACAUUUGACAAGCACGUGAAAACACAUGGCAUUCAGUCAUGAAGCAUUAGCCACUAUGAUUGCACAGUUCCUGCUGCUGCAGGUGUGGUCACUUUGAGGAGAAAGUUCUCCUCGAAGUCAGGGUCCUUUUGGGGCCAGAGAGCUGCCACAUGGGGCUGGAUCCCACUUACCCUCUGUGAGUUUGCUAGGGCUGUGAUAACAAAGUGCUGAAGACGGUAGCUUCAAUGGCAGGCAUUCAUUGUCUCUUGGUUCUGAAGGCUGAAGUUCAGGUCAGGGUGUCGGCAGGGUUGGUUCCUCCUGAGGCCUGUGAGGGAGGGUCUGUUCUAGGCCUUGUCCCCAGCUUCUGGUGCUUUGCCAGCAGGCUUUGACAUUCCUCCAGGAUGUCCGCGUGGUGUCUCCCUCUGUGUGUGCCCGUGUCCACAUUUCCCCUUUGUAUAGUCACCUUGGAUGAAAGCCCAGCCUAUUGACUUCAUUUUAGUCUGAUUACCUCUGUAAUGAUUCUGUCUCAUUAGGAGGUACUGGGGAUGUCAAUAUAUCUUUUUGUUGUUGUUGCUGGGGAUACAGUUCAACCCAGAACGCCUCCAAUUUGCUUCCUGCUAUCUUCCUGGCUGGGUGGUUUGGUUUGGGUGUGACUUGGGACUUCAGGGCCCCAGAUGCUCCCUCUUGCUUUUCCCAUCAUGUAACCGCAGGACCCUUACACAGCUGCACAGGCCAGAGUGCACGCAGGAGGAGCUGCCGUGAGUCUGGGCGGGCACCAUCCAGUGAGCCCCCAGGCCCCUAGUCCACAUGCCAGCCAGGGAGGGCAGGCCAGGGCCCAGGAGGAGAUCCGCUCCCCUCUGCAGGCUGGACCUGCCCAAACCCAAGAGCCAGGGUGAAGGUUUCUGCAGGCAUGAGAGGAUGGGGGAGCAGGGCCCCUAGAUGGGGAUGCAGCUGGCCCCUCCCCAGUCAGCCACAGGAGCAGGAUGCAGGCUCUGGAGAGGGAGAAUGACCAGAUGGCUGCUGGGAUCCAGAGGCAAAAGGUGGGCAGGAGCUGGGCUGCCUGGGGUGGUGUGAGGUGGCCCCACCUACAGUCAGGGCCCCCAAAGAACCCCUCCUAAGUACCCUAGAGCCCUCCCCAAGCCUGAAGUCAGGGGCCUUGUGCAAUAAAGUGGAGGCCCGGGCUGUGCCACAGCCACAGCUCUUCUCAUGGGGCCUCAGCUUCCUGAUUGUUUAAUGGGUCCCAAGCUCCCCACCCUGGCCCUGAGUACCGGGGAGCUCAGGCCCAGGGGUGUGGGGCCUCCAGGGCUACUAUGGCCCAUCUGUCCGUGAACAGAAAGGGCCUUGCCCUCCAGCUUGAGCUGGGUGCCUGUGGACAGAAGCAGGACUUUGGCCACCACUGGCACCAGAACCCUCAGCACCAGCUGCUAGGGGUGAGGGUCGGGUGCCCCCAGGUCAAGGUGGCCUGAGCCUGCCCACCCAAGGACAGGGACAUAAGAAUCUGGACAAUCCUGCCAGCCUGAAGGGAGGGCAGCCACCCUGGAGCAGCCCAAGUGCUCCUGAGUCCUUGCCACCUCCCCUCUGCCCACAGGGCAGACCGCAGCAGAGACCCCAGGCCAGCCCCCGGAGUCUGCAAAUGAAAGGUGGGUCCCACCUCACCCCUGCCCCACCCAGCCCACUGUGGCUUCUCCUGGGUACUACACAGGCAUUUACCUGAGUGGGCACCAGCCAAGACCCACCCACACACCUCCAGCCCCACAGCCUGUGGGUGGGGCCGCUGGGAAUCCUCACUGGCCAGUAAAGCGACGGGUUCCACAAACACUGAUGGGACUGUGGCAGUCCCAGCUCUGCCACAAACUGGCCAGUGGCCUUGGCCAAGCCCCUCACUACUCUGGGGCUCAGGUUCCAUCUGUACAUUGGGUGUGGUGCUGGGGGGACUCUGGGGAGCUCUGACACUCAGUGAUCCUAUGACCCUGUUCAGUUUACUCACUGGGUCACUGUCCCUGCGUCGGUCUCCCCAGCUGUAUAGAACUGGGCCUGUGCCACAUUUGAGUUACCCAGUGGCCUUGGUGGAGCUAAUGAUGCACAG